rnacentral:lncRNA from 1 species
UUUUGGUUCAACAAAAAUAUAAAAAAUCAUGCGAUAUCGAAAUCAAUAGAAUGAAUUUAAUAUUUCAAACUAUGCAUCAUAGUAUUCCAAAAUAAAGCAUGUUCUAUAAUAAAAUACCAUGCAAAUUCAUGCAUCACGAAUAGUAUGAUUCAAAUUUAUUAAUAUAAUAAUGUUAUUUUGCCAAUAAAUCUAGUAAAAUGGUCGUAUUACUUAUUUUGGGAGCAAAACCAAACUACGCAUUCAAAUAAUUUUGAAAAUUCCUCUUAGAACCUAAGACUCCAGCAAAUGCUCAACUAAAAUCUCUGGUAAGCACUGUGAGCCAAGGCCGUUUAACGCCAAGAAGAAACAAAAAAGGAACUGGUGGUGGUUUAGCGGCAGCAAUCGACAAAACAUGUCAACAUGAGGUGAAGGGUGUGUGGGAAUCUUUUAAAUAGGAUCCAAUCUUGUAGAAAAUUAGGAUGGAGGAGGAGUCUGUCUCUUGCUUCAAGUCGGAUAGGACUCUAUCAUUUUUUUUUUGUUUUUUACUCCAACUUGAAUAGGGCUUUAUUCAAAUUUUUUUCAUCUCCUAUUCCAACUCUUACAUCCGGACUAGUCAAAUAGAUUAGGCCCAAUUUUUAUUAGUUGAGCUGGGUGUUAUAAAUUUAUUAAAAUCAAUCAAAAAUCUAAAGGUUCAUUGAGAAACAAAAUAUAAGUUUAUUUUUU